rfam:Clostridium sp. CAG:440 genomic scaffold, scf39
UUAUAAUAUUAAAAUGAUGGUGCAUUAUUCUAGUCGUACUAAACUUUAUGAGGGUGGGGCUAAAAAUCCACUAAAGGGCACAUCGUUGAAGUUUCUUGAUUUUGCGCGAAAUGCCAGUUUUGUGUGAUAUUAGGGAGUAAAGAAACUAGGGUAAUAUGUAAUGGCAUACAUAUGAUUCCCUGGUUUCGCGGAGGCUUAAGUUUAAACUUAAGUUAAACCUAUGUUGAGUGCCAAGACACGAAAUACAUAGAGUAGCCUGUCUCGAGUGAGUGUAUUGGGAUUAAUUUAUCAUUAUUGGUUUAAUUUUGGCCGAAAUUAAACUAAUACAGUUAUGAAAUUAUACUUGCAAAAAAGACUAGUAAAGUUUAAAAAGUAUGUCAAGGAAAACUUCUAGAAUGUUUGCAAUUUUUGCAUGAAAGUCUAGGGAUUAAGGUACGGAUUUAAGUGGUGAUCUGGUGUUUACUAUUUUAGUAAAUUUUUCCCUUAAUUGGAAACAGCUAUAGCAGUAAUGCUAAGCGGGAAAAAGAGAAAUUCGACUAGACCUAAACCGUAAAAUUUACUUAGACUUUUACCAUCUAAAACAAAAAUAAA